rnacentral:rRNA from 1 species
CCUACGGGAGGCAGCAGUGGGGAAUAUUGGACAAUGGGCGAAAGCCUGAUCCAGCAAUGCCGCGUGAGUGAUGAAGGCCUUAGGGUUGUAAAGCUCUUUUACCAGGGAUGAUAAUGACAGUACCUGGAGAAUAAGCUCCGGCUAACUCCGUGCCAGCAGCCGCGGUAAUACGGAGGGAGCUAGCGUUGUUCGGAAUUACUGGGCGUAAAGCGUGCGUAGGCGGUGACUCAAGUCAGAGGUGAAAGCCUGGAGCUCAACUCCAGAACUGCCUUUGAAACUAGGUCGCUAGAAUCACGGAGAGGUGAGUGGAAUUCCGAGUGUAGAGGUGAAAUUCGUAGAUAUUCGGAAGAACACCAGUGGCGAAGGCGGCUCACUGGACGUGUAUUGACGCUGAGGCACGAAAGCGUGGGGAGCAAACAGGAUUAGAUACCCUGGUAGUCCACGCCGUAAACGAUGAUAACUAGCUGCCAGGGCUCUUAGAGCUUUGGUGGCGCAGCUAACGCAUUAAGUUAUCCGCCUGGGGAGUACGGUCGCAAGNUUAAAACCUCAAAUGAAUUGACCGGUNUGAGAGNGCGAGACGACGACGAGGAGAGG